UACGUAGGGUGCGAGCGUUAAUCGGAAUUACUGGGCGUAAAGCGUGCGCAGGCGGUUACUUAAGACAGGUGUGAAAGCCCCGAGCUUAACUUGGGAAUUGCGCUUGUGACUGGCGUGCUGGAGUGUGGCAGAGGGAGGUGGAAUUCCACGUGUAGCAGUGAAAUGCGUAGAGAUGUGGAGGAACACCGAUGGCGAAGGCAGCCUCCUGGGCCAGCACUGACGCUCAUGCACGAAAGCGUGGGGAGCAAACAGG
rnacentral:rRNA from 1 species